rnacentral:lncRNA from 1 species
CGGGGGGUCAGGUGCAGCGAUCAGCUCUGGCACAGCAGCACGCUGCCACGGGCAGAACGCACCCAGACCGGCUCCGCUCUGAUAGCGCGGCUCUCCCCACGCUGCUGUCCCUGCAGCCCGCUGUGGGCUCGGGUCCCCCCUCGCCUGUGCUGACACGGCCGCAGCAACCCAUCCCUCGCACCCCACGCUGCUCGCCUGCGUCUCGGUGCGAGGCAAACCCUCCCAAAGCAAACAGCGGUUGCUGCCGUCUGCACCGACUCAGCUGCGCUGAAGGCAGCGGUCGGAGCGAAGUGCAGCUCGGAGAAGGCUGUGGGGAAGAGCGUGUUGCGUGGCACGUGGCGGGGCAGGAAACGCGCUGCAGCGGGCGAUGCUUUAUCAGGGCAGCCCACCCAGAAGCCGUUCAUCUCCCUGCAGCUGCAGACCUGCGGCUGAGAGCGCUGGGGGCUUUCUCCCAGGGAGGCGAGAGGAACCUGGGCUAUCACGAGGAAACAAGCGCCCGCCCCGUGCCCCCUCUCAGGAAGCAGGGCCCCCUUCCAGCCCGCCGUGUGAGGGGCUCGCAGAUAAGGAGGGGCAGGAAACCUGCCGGGCUUUGCUUCUUUAAGCAAAUAUUUCCCACAGGCUCAGCACCGUGAGUCAGCACUGCCGGAGCCCAGACUUGUUUGCAGCAGCAGCGAGGCGGUGCGGGAGGUGUGGGCUGCGGGAGCCCUUCUGCCCAAACGCCAUCCGGGAUGAAAUGGGGCUAACAGGGAGCAAAAGGCUGAACGGUGCUCGUGGACUCGUUCUGCACCGACCUGCCAGUCUGCAGGCCCCAAAAAUACAGGCACGGCCCAAAGGUUUCUAUUCAGGGCCCAGCAGUGGAAUAAGGAACAUGAGCCGUGGGAUAUCCCGUGUCACCGCAGGCUGCUCAGCCUGGAAGGGGCUGGUGGCAAAGGGAGGAAACGUCAGAAACGCCAUGGACUAUUUUAGAUCUGCAACCUCAGUUCUGCAAAGGACAGCCUGCUGAUGUGCCACGCUCAGCGAGCAGCGGGGAGGAACCCCACGGCAGGAAGAGAGACAGCCCUCUGCCCUUUGCGUUUCGAUUCCCGGUGUCUGUGUGUGUGGAGGUGAUUUGUCCAUAAUUGUUUGCUUUCUCCGGAGUCCUUUGAAGCGCCUGUCUCCCAACCGGUCCCCUCUUAAGAAUAAAUGCUUCCAAGCCGCCAAUAACACGUGAGCCAUGAUUACAGCCCGGCUCCUCGCUGAGGGCCGUGAGGUCACCGAGGCAGCGCAGUGGGAACGGUUUUGCCUUCUGUGUGUGGGGUUGGGCAGAAGGACCCCCUGUGCUGCAGUGAGGGGCGGGGAGGGCUCUGUGUGGUGCUGGGGGGGCUCUCCGGGCACCGCGGCCUUUUCUUUUUGCUUUAUUGCCAUACCGAGUAUUUAUAUGGGGGAAGGAAGCGGUGUUUAAGGACGGUCUGUGCCCUCAGUGUGCCCCUUUGGAGGGCGUUACGAUGGGCUUUAAUUCCCUCAGCCCGUUUUCUUGCCCUUCUUGCCUCCUGUCUGCUGCAGGAGGUAAAGCCUCGCUGCGCACUGCCCGCGUGGGGCUCUCCAUCCCACCAGCCAAAACGUGGGCUCUCUGUUGGGUCUCUCCAUCCCAAGUGUGUCCCUCUGGGACUCCCCACCCCUCCGCCCUGCCAACAGAGCGCGCCGCCUCCUCACCCCGAAUCCCACCGCCCCGUCG